CCCCAGCGCCCCGAGUGGGAAUCGCGAUUAUUGGGUCUAAAGCGUUCGUAGCAGGUUUUGUGAAUCUCUUGUGAAAUCGGCAGGCUUAACUUGUCGGCGUGCAGGAGACACUGCAGAACUCGAGACCGGGAGAGGUUAGAAGUAUUCCUUGGGUACCGGUAAAAUGGGUUAAUCCAAGGAGGACUACCAAUGGCGAAGGCAUCUGACCAGAACGGUUCUGACUGUGAGGAACGAAAGCUAGGGGA
rnacentral:rRNA from 1 species